CCUACGGUGCGCUGCAGUGAGGAAUAUUGGUCAAUGGACGAGAGUCUGAACCAGCCAAGUAGCGUGAAGGAUGACGGCCCUACGGGUUGUAAACCUCUUUUGCCGGGGAGCAACGGGCGCCACGUGUGGCGCCACUGAGAGUACCCGGAUAAAAAGCAUCGGCUAACUCCGUGCCAGCAGCCGCGGUAAUACGGAGGAUGCGAGCGUUAUCCGGAUUUAUUGGGUUUAAGGGGUGCGUGGGGGGAUCGUUAAGUCAGUGGUAAAAUUGAGGGGCUAAACCCCUUCCCGCCAUUGAAACUGGCGCUCUUGAGUGGAAGAGAAGUAUGCGGAAUGCGUGGUGUAGCGGUGAAAUGCAUAGAUAUCACGCAGAACCCCGAUUGCGAAGGCAGCAUGCCGGCUUCCGACUGACGCUGAAGCACGAAAGCGUGGGGAUCGAACAGGAUUAGAUACCCCAGUAGUC
rnacentral:rRNA from 1 species